rnacentral:tRNA from 2 species
AAUGUGGUGGCGGAAUAGGUAAACGCAAGGCUUGACGUACAAUCACCUUUAAAGGAGUUCGACUCUCCAUAGCUAGUGGUGUGCUUAGUUGUGGGUUCAAAUCCCACUCACAUUU